rnacentral:rRNA from 1 species
CCCUUAGAUGUUCUGGGCCGCACGCGCGCUACACUGACGAUGGCAACGAGUUUUUCCUUUGCCGAAAGGUGUGGGUAAUCUUUUGAAACAUCGUCGUGCUGGGGAUAGAUCAUUGCAAUUUUUGAUCUUGAACGAGGAAUUCCUAGUAAGCGCGAGUCAUCAGCUCGCGUUGAUUACGUCCCUGCCCUUUGUACACACCGCCCGUCGCUACUACCGAUUGAAUGGUUUAGUGAGGACUCCUGAUUGGCGCCGCCGCCCCGGCAACGGAGCAGCGGACUGCCGAAAAGUUGUUCAAACUUGAUCAUUUAGAGGAAGUAAAAGUCGUAACA